rnacentral:rRNA from 1 species
CUACGGGGGGCUGCAGUGGGGAAUAUUGGGCAAUGGGCGAAAGCCUGACCCAGCAACGCCGCGUGAAGGAAGAAGGUUUUCGGAUCGUAAACUUCUAUCCCAGGUGAAGAUAAUGACGGUAGCCUGGAAGGAAGCCCCGGCUAACUACGUGCCAACAGCCGCGGUAAUACGUAGGGGGCAAGCGUUGUCCGGAAUGAUUGGGCGUAAAGGGCGCGUAGGCGGCCUUCUAAGUCCGAUGUGAAAGUCCUGCUUUUAAGGUGGGAAUUGCAUUGGAAACUGGAGGGCUUGAGUGCAGGAGAGGUAAGUGGAAUUCCCGGUGUAGCGGUGAAAUGCGUAGAGAUCGGGAGGAACACCAGUGGCGAAGGCGACUUACUGGACUGUAACUGACGCUGAGGCGCGAAAGUGUGGGGAGCAAACAGGAUUAGAUACCCUAGUAGUC